CAUUGAAACACCAGUUACCGUAAGAUCACUGAAGUUAAGCAACGCCGACCCUCGUCAGUACCUAGAUGGGUGACCGCUUGGAAAUACCCGGAGGUUGUA